rnacentral:rRNA from 1 species
GUGUCAGCCGCCGCGGUAAUACGUAGGGGGCAAGCGUUGUCCGGAUUUAUUGGGCGUAAAGAGCGUGUAGGCGUCCAGGUAGGUCUGCUGUGAAAACUCGAGGCUUAACCUCGAGCUGUCGGCGGAAACCAUCUGGCUAGAGUCCGGAAGAGGAGAAUGGAAUUCCCGGUGUAGCGGUGAAAUGCGUAGAUAUCAAGAGGAACACCUGAGGUGAAGACGGGUUGCUGGGCCAACACUGACGCUGAUGCGCGAAAGCCAGGGGAGCAAACGGGAUUAGAUACCCCCGUAGUCC